GACGUAGGAUGCAAGCGUUGUCCGGAUUUAUUGGGCGUAAAGAGUUCGUAGGUGGUUUGUUAAGUUUGGUGUUAAAGAUUGGGGCUCAACCCUGAAACUGCACUGAAUACUGGCAGACUCGAGUGUGGUAGAGGCUAGUGGAAUUCCCAGUGUAGCGGUGAAAUGCGUAGAUAUUGGGAAGAACACCGGUGGCGUAGGCGACUAGCUGGGCCAUAACUGACACUGAGGAACGAAAGCCAGGGGAGCGAAUGGGAUUAGAUACCCCAGUAGUCCUGGCCGUAAACGAUGGAUACUAGGCGUAUCGGGUAUCGACCCCUGAUGUGCCGCAGCUAACGCGAUAAGUAUCCCGCCUGAGUAGUACGGCCGCAAGGUUG
rnacentral:rRNA from 1 species